rnacentral:rRNA from 1 species
UAGUGGCGCACGGGUGAGUAACACGUGAGUACCUGCCCCCAAGAGUGGGAUAGCCCCGGGAAACUGGGAUUAAUACCGCAUAAAUUAAAGAGCAAUGCGCUUGGGGAUGGACUCGCGUCCAAUUAGCUAGUUGGUGAGGUAACGGCCCACCAAGGCGACGAUUGGUAGCCGGACUGAGAGGUUGAACGGCCACAUUGGGACUGAGACACGGCCCAGACUCCUACGGGAGGCAGCAGUGGGGGAUAUUGCACAAUGGGGGAAACCCUGAUGCAGCGACGCCGCGUGGAGGAAGAAGGUUUUCGGAUUGUAAACUCCUGUCGUUAGGGACGAUAAGACGGUACCUAACAAGAAAGCACCGGCUAACUACGUGCCAGCAGCCGCGGUAAAACGUAGGGUGCAAGCGUUGUCCGGAAUUACUGGGUGUAAAGGGAGCGCAGGCGGGAAGCAAGUUGGAAGUGAAAACCAUGGGCUCAACCCAUGAAUUGCUUUCAAAACUGUUUUUCUUGAGUAGUGCAGAGGUAGAUGGAAUUCCCGGUGUAGCGGUGGAAUGCGUAGAUAUCGGGAGGAACACCAGUGGCGAAGGCGGUCUACUGGGCACCAACUGACGCUGAGGC